CAGCCGCCGCGGUAAUACCGGCGGCCCGAGUGGCGGUCACUAUUAUUUGGCUUAAAGCGUCCGUAGCCGGGUUGGGAAGUCCUCCGGGAAAUCUGGCCGCUUAACGGUCAGAAUGCCGGAGGAUACUCCCAGCCUAGGGAGCGGGAGAGGCCGCGGGUAUUCCCGGGGUAGGGGUGAAAUCCUAUAAUCCCGGGAGGACCACCUGUGGCGAAGGCGCUCGGCUGGAACGCGUCCGACGGUGAGGGACGAAGGCCAGGGGAGCAAACCGGAUUAGAUACCCGGGUAGUCCUGGCUGUAAACGAUGCGGACUUUGUGUCGGACAAGCUAUGAGCUUGUCCGGUGCCGGAGGGAAACCGUUAAGUCCGCCGCCUGGGGAGUACGGCCGCAAGGCUGAAACUUAAAGGAAUUGGCGGG
rnacentral:rRNA from 1 species